UCUUUUUCUUUUCUUUUUUUUUUUCUUUCAAUUCUACAUUUUAUUUUUAUUUUUUUGCUUAAGCUUGUUGAAAUAAAUCUCACUUUGUAAUUUAUUUGUUUGAACAAAAAAUUCAUUUUUUUUUUCCUUUCACUUCCUUUUCUUUUCCAAGAGUUUGUAUUGAGAAAAAGAGCAGAUAAUAAAGCUUAAUGUUAGGUCUGCUUUUGUCUAUAAUAUUCUCAUUGCCUCUAUCAAAAAUCAAUUGUCAAAGUCAAAGCAGUGAUUAUAUGCAAAAUAUUUAUAUAUAUAUAUGUGAUUUUAGCAUCGUUCAAUUGAUUAAGAAAUUAGUAGUUGAAGUGAGCAUAUAACUAACGUUUAACAUAGGUUAGCGAUUCAUCAUGACUGGCCCAUUAAACAGCAUAUUGGGCCACCCUAUCUUAAUCACUUUACUGGGUAGCAUGCAGUGUAAUGGGCCGCUAGGGCCCAAUACUAAAGAGAUAACCAAUUCUUUUUUUUCCCUCUUUUAUUUAAGAAAACUUAUUAGUUGGAUAGAAAAACAAACAAAAGGCCCUAAUUAAGUAAAUUUGAUCUUUGAAAACUUUUGUUUUACUAAGAUUUCAAAGGUAGAUUUAGGGAAAUGGGUAUAGAUAUUAAAUUUUAGGGUUUGGUUUUUAAAAUAUGUCAAAAUAACACCUAAUCUCCUUUUAAACCAUAUCUCUAAAUCAAUCAAACGUAUAUAUAAAAAGAGAAAAACAUAAAUAUAAACCCAUGAAUAAAAUAAAAGCAAAAAUGAUAAUAUUUAAAAUGGUCAUAAUGAAUUGACAAUUUUAUACACUAAACAACAAUUAAAGCAUUUUAAAACGUGAACUAUUGAAAGCAUCGACGUGGCACCCAUAAACCCAAUUGAGAGGGACACAUAAAAGCCUUAAUGAAGAGUAAAAUAAUUAAAAGCAAUUUGGAAAAUUUUGAAAAGAUAAGACAUGAAAUAAGCAAUAAUUAAUCAAUUGCAAAAGAGUCCUCCUGCCGGCCACCGCCCACCGCCCACCGCCCACCGGCCUACUAGGUUUAGUAAUGGCUACUCCCACAAAAUUAACAUCUCUCUUUCAUUUUUCUUCAAAAUAUAAUAAAUAAGUAUUCAAUUUCUCUAUACAAAAUUUAAUUUGGAGUUGUACGAUCAUGUUGAGGUUCUUCUAGCCAUUCAUAUGAACUAUUCAAAACUAGGGGGGAAUUCUAAUUUGACAUUACAAUAUGGUGAGCUUAUAUAUUAGUACAUAUAGGUAGGUUGGGGUACAUCUCGACAUGCUACAACAUUAAUGAGGCAUUCUCUUUCUUUUGAUUUGGUGGAGAAAAUUAUGGAUCUUGUUCUAUUUAAUAAAACACUAUUCUUUCUUUCUAUAUUAUUUCCUGUUUCAUAUUCGAUGAGAAAACACUAAUGUUGAUUUCAAUUUAUUUAAAACCUACACACGUCUACUGCUUGACACCUACACAACUCACUCUAAUGUUAUUAUCAAGAUUGUCAUUGCAACAAAGAGAAACUCAUAUUAUCUAGUUCAACAAAUUCAUAUUGUCUUCUUAAAACAAAUUUACUCACCCUAACGUCAAUUAUAUGUACAUGUAUAUGUAUGUUUGUAUCUAAAAUUACCAAAAACACAAUUUAACAUUUUGAUAAUGGUAUUCACAGACAAUUGAGAGGUGAAAAUGGCAUCUUCCUCUUAUGUCAUUGUAUGCAACUUCUACUUUUCUUUUAAUAUAUGCAAUAUGUAAAAGGUUGCAAAGUUGGGAUUGAUGAUAUUUUUACUGAGAAGGCUCUUAAUAUCCUGAGUAUGUUGUCCCAUUAGUAUUUCUAAAGACUAACUAUUAGGUGUGUGUUUGAUUUAGAAGUGUCCAAUGACAAAUCAAGUUGAUGUUUAAUACUACCAUUCAACAAUUUUACUGAAGUAGAAAAUGCUUUACAAGUGCCCAAAUGAAUUGAUGACUAAAAAUGUGUACCACUUUAUUCGAUUUAAAAGCAAGUUAAAAUAAAGAUGAUUAAGUGAAAGUAUAUACACUAUCAGUAAGUAAUAGUAUGAGUAACAAGCAUCAAAUAUCAAGAUAUCGUUUUAAGAAAUUUUGAAUUUAAAAAAAAAAAUGGAUUGGAAUGAAAAGAUGAUAAUUAAAAAUAUAUAGUUGGAGGUUCAUCAAUGCGCAAUUUAAACUUUUAGAAUAAAAGCAACUCAAGUAUAAUGUUCACAUCGAUUUUCGUAUUAUAAACCAGGUAAAACUUCUAUUUUGCUUGGAUUUCAAGCACCUUAGAGGAUUAAAUAAUUAAACCUACAUGAGUAAUUAUGAUUUAUAUAAGUAACCAUUGAUCGAUCUUUAAUACGUCUUGACGAUAUGUCUUAUAUAUCUUAUUAGAUUAUGUGAUGUCUUAUUUUUCUAGAUCCUUAGUCUCAUAUUCUCUUAUGAAGUUGGUACGUUUCUUUAGCAUCCUCAACGUUAUUAAACCAAAAUGUACAUGCCUAACUUAAAUGACAUAUUUAAAUUAACAAAAUGUUUUGUAAAAAUCAACAAUGAAAAAAAGUGCAAUGCAAUUUAUUAUCUCAAGUUAUCUUAUUUCCUCCCAAGUUAUCUUACUGGUUUGAGGAUAUUUAUUAGAGCAAAGCUCUUAAAAGACUUACAUUCAUAGUCAAAUUAAUAGCUCUAAUUUCAUUAAAAAUUGAAAGAGUAAAAAAUGAAUAAAAGUUGAAUAAAGCAACUAAGCCAAAGAUAAAAAAAAAAAAAAAACUCGAAGCACAAUUUCUAUUUAAUGAAUAAUGUUUUCUCGUUUCGUUCAAUAUUUUGAGAAAAAUCUCACCUCACAAUCAUAUCUAAUCGUAGAUGCUGAAAUAAAGUCAUAACUUAUAAAAGAAGCUUUUGUUCUUGGAGUGAUGGACUAGGUUGGAUAUGUAUCCUUCGUAUUUGAAUGAGUAUAGAAAGCGGAUGAAGUGAAGAUUUUAUUUGUUUACAAUUAUGUCGUAGCUGUUGGUUUUUUUGUCCCUUAAUCUUAAAUUAAUUUAUUUUAAUUAUAGUUAAUUUAUGUUUUAAUGACAACAAAUCUGAUUUCUUUUUAUUGACAAUUUUAUUAAUUUGAAUAGACCAUAUCGUAGAGCUUAGAAAAAUGAUUCUAACGCCUCUUGAAUCACCCAAAUCGAAGUUCAAACGAAUGAAAUAUUGCUAAAAGAAGCUUAACGAAAAAUACCCGAGAUGGUUCACCAAGCAUUCAAUUUGAACCAAUUAGAAAAAGCCACUUGGAGCAAUCGAGGAGUAACAAAUGUAGUUUUUGGUUAUGUUUUAUUAGCUUUUAUAAAGAAAAUGAAUUUUAAAAAAAAAAUGACUUUAAUAUUAUUACUUUUCUUUGUGUCUGACGGUUAGUUUUUUUUUUUAAAAAUGGUGAAAUUGAUUUAUUGGUUUCUUUUUAAACAAAGUAUUUUGAAAAGACAUAUUAUUAUAUUAUUAUUUGUAUUGUGUCUAACGGCUAAUUAAGUUUAAAUCUCACUCAUUCAUUUUUGUUUUACUUAUAUCUAAUAACCCAAAAUGAUUUUGAAAUUAUCUUUUCUCUCUUUUUAAAUACUUCACUUUUCCCAAAUUUUAAAUUAGACAAGAUUAUUAAAUUUUUUCCCAAAUUUUAAAUUAGACAAGAUUAUUAAAUUUUUUACGAUUCUCAAAAAGUGCAAAAAGCCAACAUUGUUAUUCUCACUAAAGCUUCCAAUUUUUAUUCUUUUCAUCUUAUUCUUGAGAGCUUCUUAUUGUAUUGUGAGGAUUAAAUUUGUGAGCUUCAAAUGUAUACUCACUCCUUUAGACAGUUUUCUUUUGUGUGAUUUAAAAACUUCAACAUAUUAUAACGGUUGGAUCUUAACCCGUGGAAAGGAUCGGGUUUGCUCUUGAACCAGAAAAAAGAGCAAAAAUCGGUUCGGCUCAAAUUCGUGGAAAGAGUCAAAAAAAGAUUUUCAAUCAAAAUCCCAAGAGGUGCUUGAAAAAGUAGAUGUAGGUUGAGUUUAACCGAACCACUAUAAAAUUACGGUGUCUUCUUCUCAAACUCUUUUCUAGUUAUUUUUUAAUUCAAUUUUAGUUACAUAUUCUUAUUGGUUGAGUUUGAUUGCAUACUUUCAUUCAUAUCUUUUUAUCAAUCUUGUUAUUUAACAAAGUUUACAAAGUUCUUUAUUUAAAUUAAAAAAUUGCUAAUUAGUUGAUUUUACUUUUUAUUUGUCAAAAAGUUUAUUUAAACCCUAUUCACCCCUCUAGGGUUGUCAUACCGAUAGCAACAGUAACCAUUAAGCAUAGAAAUUCUAGUUUUGAGGUUGAGCAAGACCAAUUGGAGCUUGCCUUAUUGCCUGUCCAUACUUCAAAGAAACUCACUUAACCUUGUUUUCUACUAAUCUCGAACUCAUUUAACUAGAAAAUUUAACUCUAUGGUUAUACUACUCUCCUAGUUAGUGUUUGAUUAUCUUAAUUUGUUAGUAAUACCAGCAUUAUAAUUGAAUUAAUUUCACUUUUAAUUUUAACCAUAUUUAAAGAAAUUAAGAUAUGAAUUAAGGUAAAUUUACAUAAAUAUAAUUAAAGUGUCGGUGCAACAAGUUAAGAAAAACUCACGAAGUCAAUCACUUUCUCAUAAAUUGUAUAUUUGUCCUUAUUGGAUUUUUAUUAUUGCGGGCGAUUUUGCGAUUUUUUAGUUCUCUUAUUCAUAUUAUUACUUCUCUUUAUUUAUAUUUUUACUCCUUGUUUGCAAUUUCUUCUAAUUCUUCAAUCCGUUUGGAUUGAAUUAAGAAAAAAAUGUUUUUCAAUAAACUCAUUUUUCAAAAAAUUGUUUAAAAUACACCUAGAAAUGAGUGGCUUCCUUUCUCAAAAUAACUUAUUUUCUAAAUUAAACACCUCAAAAUGCAAUCCAAACACAUCAUUCGUCUCUCAUCUUCUUUUGUUCUUCUUGGUUCACAAUCCAAACGAUAGUAAUACAUGAUCCAAACGAUAGUAGUACAUGAUCUAAAUGACCGUGUACCAAUAUCUAAACAAUCAGAUCACUAUUAGAUUGUUUAGCUCUAAUAAAUUGUUUAGAUUUGGUACAAGAUCUUAGAGACCGGAUACAAGAGUACAACGUUUAAACUUGAUACAAAGAUGCAAUAUCAUUUAGACUUAGUACAAAGAUACAAAACUGUCAAAACUGUGUAUAAGAUUGUUUAGAUUUGUUACUUAUUAUAAAAUAAAAUUCAAACAUUUGUGAUCAAUUAAUCAUAACUUAUUUUAACGAAUGUGGACAUGUGGUUUUUCAAAAUAAAAUUGUUAUAUACUAUUGAAAUAUGUUCCUACUUUAUUAUAUUUUAAAAAAACCCAUUAAUUAUAUUUAUACUAAAAAUUGUAUAAAUAUUAUGAAAACACUCAUAAAGUUUUUUGGUAUGAUAACAACAGAAAGUAUAAAAUCCCUCACACUCUAAUCGAUACAUAUUGCAUGAACUCUAAAUCACUUUCAAGAGCCGCCAUUGUUUCUGGCGACAAAACCACCUCCAAAUCCACACUUCCAUUCCCUUCCUUCCCCGGAAAUGCCGACAUUUUACCAUCAAACUUAUUCGCACUCCCGCUUCGAACCGCCACCGGCCUCCCCCAUCCAAAAUCAUUGUUAUACAUCGGAAAUCUCGGCGAGCUUCCCAUCGUCACCGACGCACCAUCCGCGUUCCCGAGCGGAAACAACCGUGGCGCUUUCUCCCAAUCACCAAUGCCACCACGCACGGUCGCAUCGUUGUGCGCUGCCACAUUCCGGUGGAUCAAAGUGCCGCACCAGCCUAAAUCUUUGGACAGAAGCUCCCCCACCAGAGCCACGUUUGGAAUGCUCUGUAUUGCGUUUCCGAAAUAAAGCGACGGCAUCGGCGGCUGCAGGCGGUGACGGCAGUUCACGGCCAUUCGAAACGUCGUCGUUUUGGUUGCGUUCAAUUUUCUUGCUCUCGUCACUGAACGCCAUAACUGCGCACAGAGAGAUUGGAAAGACGAAAUUUCCAAUUUCCCAUCAGAUACGUCGCCAUUUCGCUUUCCGUUAACGGUUUUCCAACUGUCAUUCAAUUGCUUGCCGAAAUACUCAACGGCCUCGCAGUUUCCGUUACUCAUUCGUUUCCGUUGGACAUCAACUCCAUUGGCUCUGUAUUUCAGCCGCAAAAUUGCUUCUCUGCUAAAAUGAAAAAUCCUCUCCCGCAGCCGCGUAUUUCCGGCGAACGUCUCCGUCGGACCACCGGGAGGAAACUUCAACACCGCCGGCGAGUUAAACGCCGUGUCCCGGGUAAAAUCCGGCGUGUUAGAGAUUUUCCCCUUUCCGAAGUUAAUCUCUGCAAACGUAUUGAAAAAAUGCCAGAACGAAGUGCCGUCGGCGACGGCGUGGUUGACUGUACAUCCAAUAAAGAGGCCAUCGGCUAGCUCGGUGACUUGUACUGCCGCCAAAGGCUUAUUAUGGCCUAAAUAGCUCAAAGUCCGAUCGAAGGCGAAAAAUGCCCUGAAGCAAACCGGAAUAUCAAGAGGAGAAAGAAGAGAGUGGAGGGAAAGGUGUUUGGCCUUAGCUUCGAUGAAAUCGACGCCGGCAUCGUUACAUAAGAGGAAAAUAGCGCCGUCGGGGUCGGUGGUGAGGCGGCCGGCGAGGGCGGGGAAGUGAGAGAGAGCAGCGGAGAGAGAGCGUUUGAGAGAGAGAAUGAGGUCGGGGAAGGAAGAGGGAGGAGAGGGGAGAAGAACGCCUUUCUGAAUGUAAUGGCAAGAGAGCAUAGGGAGGUCGGAGACGGAGAGCUUGAGUUUCUUAAUGGUGGAUUUACUAUCGGGAAAUACGGUGGAGUUGGAGAGGAUGGCGGUGGUUGAAGAAGGCAUUGUGAAAUAGAAAUAGAAAUAGAGAAUUGGGGAGUAAUUAAAAGGGAGUUAUGAUUUGAAUUUUGGAGGAGUGAGAAUUGAGGGUUUAUAUAGGAGAAGAAAUGGUAGUUAGUUCAUGCAUUGUGCACACGAGGGUAAGUGGUAAUGUCGACAGGUUUCGAAGGGAUGAUAUGUAUUCUCUAUUCUCUAUCAGCAAGAUGACGACCUAUGGGUCCACUACCACAAAAUAAAUAAAUUAACUACAUAUACCAAUUAUAUUUUAUAACAUACAUAAAUUCAAUAAUAUGGAAUUCAUUUACCUCUUACAAAAAGUAAAUACAUAUUUAAGCUUACUCUAACUUAAUCCACUCUUUCUAAUUCUUUUAAAAUGUUGGUUUAUAUAUAAUUUCAUUAUUAUUCCUAAAACUGCUAUCAAUUACCAAAAUAAAUAAUUAAAAUAUUUUGGAGGGAAGAUAAGAAGUUAAUAGAUAUACAAAGAUAGAUGUUACUUGAAAUACAUUAUGUACUAUUCUAGAUGGCAUUUGGUUUAGUUUUUAAUUUGAAAUUAAGUUUAUUAAAAAAAUAAGUUGUCUUCACUUGUAGCAAAUUUUAAAACACUCUCAAAAUCUAUUUGAAACAAUUUUUAUAAUUUUUAUUAUAUAAUAAAUUAAAACACACAAUUAAUUAAUUGAGAGGAGAGAAUUCAAUUCUCCAAUCCUUAGAUCUUAAUACAUAUUUAACUAGUUGACCUAGAACAACACUUGAUACAUUCUAACAUACACCAAACUUUAUGCAUCAUAAUUUAGCUAGUCAUAAUGAGAUUAAAAAACCUAAAAAGAAGUAAGAAGAAUAUGUCAAGUUCAUUAUAUGACCAAAGAACUUAGUAAAAUACACACACAAAAAAAUAGCUUAAAAUAUAUCUAUAUUUAUUUUUGUUGAAUCAUGUUCAUCUUGACAUAUAGAUAUAGAUACGAAAAAUAUUUAGGACAUGAAAAAUAUUUAGGAGCAUCUUGAACAAUACAUAUGUUUGACCAUAUCAUCAAAUUAUAGAAUAUAGAUGAGUUGUAGGAAGAAGAGAAGAAAAAGGAAAGAAAGUGUGUGGUGGAUAAGGAGGAGAGGUGGAUGGGAGGGCAUAUAUAUGUAGCAAAAUACAUAAAUAGUGAAAUGGACAAUCCAACAUCAAUAAAUUUAAAUGCUUCUCCCUUUUCUACAUGUGAUAUUGUUUCAAUGAAUUUAUCCAAGAUCAUAUCAUUAUGUGAUUAAAAAUGUCAAUGUCAAGAUACUUUUACUUACAUUCAACAUUUUUUUACCUCACUUGCAAACUUAUCCACUCAAAUCAACCCCUUUUGCUCUUUUUUUCUUUUUCAUAUUCACAAAUUAUGGAGGAUAUUCAAACUUUUAAUAUAUCAUACACAUGUCUCUUCAUCUUCUGCUAACUGUCCUUGCUUCUCUCUUUAAUUUUGCAUGGUAAAUUAAAUUCAAUCUAUACCAUUUCUAAUUAUAUACAAUAACCAAUAUAUAGAGAGUCCACACCGUAAAUAAAUAAACAAUAAACAUAUUAUUUAAUAACGUGUAAACAUAAAAAUAAGAAUAUAUAUUUAUACCAUAUUGGUUAAAAGUUUUUUUAUUAGAUUUUCUUACAAGUGUAUGUGUGUGUAUAUAUAUUCAAACUUUCUAGCUAUACUAUAUAUAUAUAUAUAUAUACAAAGUUAGUAUGUUUUACACGUGUUUCGAAAAUAUUAAAAAAGAAAUGAAGUUCAUAGUUAAACUUUGAUGCAAGUUGAGGGAGUUGUAUGAAUUUGACGAUUUAACAACUUGCCUUUUUAAGAUAAAAGGGAAUUUAUUUGUAAAUUUUUAGUAUUUAUGUUUCUAUCAAAUAAUUGCUUUAUAUAUAUUUUUGUCUUUCUGUGUGACUCAAUCCAAAUUAUUGUUCUUUUAAUAAAAAAAGAAAAUCAUUUUUUAAGAACAUCAAUAAGGAUGGUUUGUUGUUAUUAUUAUUUAAUUUCUAAAAAAAAGCAAUGUGAAAAGAUAAUUGGGAAGAGAUAUUGGAACUUUACUAUAUGCAUCUACAUAUGUGACAAAUUUUAGUUCGUUUAUUUUAAGAAAAUAUAGAUUUUAUAUGAUUUGGUUAAUGAUGCUAAUAAAUUUUCAAAUAUAGCUAAAUGAAUACAUAUAUAUAUAAUAAAAUAUAAUCGAUAGAUGUUGAUAGACAUGGGUAGACAAUUAUCAAUCAAAUGUUGACUAUAAAAUUUUUAUAUUUAAAUUUGAACAAUUUUGACGUGGAUUCAAGUUUAAAAUGAAUAUAGUAAUAUUUAUAUAAGUUUAAAUUGAAACUUUCAAAAUGUUAUUAAAGUUAGAGAAUCGAAUUUGACAAACUUAAAAGUUUAGAGAUAAAAAUUGAAAGCUUUUUCUAGUGAUAUAUUUUUCUUAUUAUAUACUGACUCAAACCCGUGACCUCAAAAUUGAAAUACGGUUUCAAGAUAUCGAACGAGAGUUAUUACAUUUGGCGAGAUAAAAUUGAUGAAAUUUACAAUAUUGGGAUUAGUUGGACUCUUCUUCACACUUGCCAAAUUAAGGCUAUUUAUUGGAUGCAUGAAUUCAAAUAUGAAAGGAUGUGAAGAACCAAAAAGGAAGAAGAAAAUAUUAUCAUGUCCACACUUUUGGUGAUUUUUCUCCAAACCCAAACAAAAAUUUGAAAAUUUUCCUAACAUCCAUGAAUAUCUCCCAAAAAAUUUCUCUCUCUCUCUCUUUUGGUUAGAUUUUUAACAAUAUAUCAUCAUAUUUUAUCAUUUAUUUAAAAUAUAUCCUCAUUCUUUUGUAAGUUGCAAGAUCAUCUUUUAAGUGGUGUGUACUUUUCACUUGAAAAGUUUAGAGGAAAGUUGAGAUGCGAAAGUAUGAGUCAAACCUUAGAAUAGUUUAACAAUUCAUGACAUGAGAUUUUUGUCCAAAAAAUGUAAGGAUUUCUUCUAAAAAAUGGUUUUGAAGUGAACGGUUUAUAGAAUGUUGUAAAAUUUGAAAUUAUGAGUGUUUUUUAGAUAAACGAUAAGAUUGGAGGUAGGAUUUAUAUUUGCUUAUACCAAAAUUUGGACAAGAAAAAACACAUUUGAUCACAUUCACGUGACAAUAAUGGUAAACUUGUAAUUUGAAAAUAAAUGUAAUAUGAAAAGAUGUGCACAUCAAUGUAGUGCUUCUUGCCACAUGAGCUUUAAUGGUUAAGUUAAAAAGUAUAACUACUCAGCAAGUAAAGAGUUUGAGCACAAAAAUGAACUUACAUCUGUGUUGGAGCUAUGGUUACAUAUAUUUAAAAGAAAGUGUAGUUUACCUAAGUCCUUCCCUUUAGGAUUUGGAGUUGCAGAGGAAAAGAGAAACUAUUCCCACCAAGGAAAAUAUAUAGAUAGAUUGAUUUAAGUCUUAUCUAUUCACACGUUGUAGCUCUUUUGUUAAACUGUUUUGUGACUCCUGAAACCCUGAGAAUUAGUCAAAUUUUUCAUUCCAAAAAACUAUAGAGAAAAUGACAAACUCCAAAAGAGAGGUGGGAAUGAAAAAGAAAUGCAUUAAAGAGAAGUUCUAGGUGUAGGAGCGAAGCAAUACGACUGGAGAACUCCACCAGAGGAUAGUCUUCAUGAGAGUACUUACAUAGAGUAUCUGUUGGGGAAAAGGGGGUUGGGGUAUGCCCCAUUUGGUAUUUCCAAGAUCGAUCACCUUCUUUUAGCUAUAUUUUAGACCUAGAAAUGUGCCAAUAGGUAUUUUAUGAGGCUCAGUCGAGACCAAGCACUUGCCCAAGUCAAUCCCUUUUUCUAGGUUCUAAUCAUUUGAUUCUAAGCUGCCUCCUUCGAUCUGAAUUAUUUUAUCUUAGUACCUCUUUAUUUUUACUUUUUGUUGAUUAUGCCUUUGCCCCAAAAUCAUCUCUAAUAAUGAUAUAACCUUCUUUAUUUAAGUUGUGAAGAUGAGUCAUUGGCCAUUAAUGUAUUAUAUAUCCAACAAAAUGAAUUUGUAAUUAAAGUUUAACAAGUGUACUUCUUAUAUAUACAAGCUAAUGAUUUAAGAAAUUCAUGUCGUCACGUGCUCAAGACUCAAGACGAUGUAAAGUGAUUGACGUCUUCAAAAUGAACUAAUUUUAAAAUAAAACAAAAACAUGAGUCAGCCACCAAACUUUUUUUAUGGUGUGAUUGAACACCAAAAUAAAGUAAACAUUUUUUUAAAAGAAAUAUAAAAAAUGAUCUGCGAAAACUAUAUUUGAAAGUUCAAGAGUCAUUUGUGGAAUGUGGUAACAUCUCACAGCACCAAUUGAGAAAACUAUGACCAAUAUUGAAUUUAAAAUAUUUUUAAAUAAUGUCUUAUUCUACGUACUCUCAUUAUUUUAAUAUUUAAAACAAUGACGAUCUCAUAAAAUAAAUUAAGAGAGCAUUACAUCAAUUAGACUAUAUUGAAGAAAAUAUACUCACCUCAAGAAAAUAUGAUAAAUUAGUACAAUUUCUCAAAAUCCAUCUUAAGAAUAUCCUUCUAAUAAAGGGAUUUUUUAAAAAAAUAUUAACUAAAAUCAUUUUUUUUCUUAGGACCAAACGAAUUCACAAAAAUGUGAUCCCUCACCUCAUAAAUUCUAAAAAGUUAGACUCUAGGUUUCGUCGUAGUAUUUUAUCUAAGAAAAAUAAUAUAAGUUAUAGAAGAUCUAUCCCAACCUUCCAAAUGAUUGAUUUGCUCUCUUAAAAAAUUUUAGAAAAUCAAAAUUUUAUAGAUUUUAUUAUCCAAAAUUUUAUAAAAAUAAUAUGCUCGAUAAAAAGAAUUACAAAAGAUAUAACUAAAAAGAAUUACAAAAGAUAUAACUUAAAGAAACAAGUAAAUAUAUAUUAAAUUAAACAUCAAAAUAGCAAUUAAUGCAAAAUAUAAUGUAAUAUGAUUUAAAGAAGCAUAAUAAUAUAGAUUAAUGAACAUAAAAAAACACAAUAUUAUUUUAGAGAAAAAUUAUUGAAGAUCUAUUACAAAAGAAUAAUCUAAGAAUUGAGUUAAUUUUAAAGGGUUGCAACACAAACAGAAAUAGUAGUCAUUAAUGAUGGAGCUAAUUAAAGUUGAAAUUAUAAAGUUUUAAAAGCAACAAAUGUAGUUAAUGAGAGAGUUUCUUAUCGUUUAAAUUGAUGCUGAUCUUUGAGGUGACAAUUAAUAUAAAUGAGAUGUGUGAAUUCAUAACAUUAAUCAUCCAAUAAUUUUAUUCAAUGUAUGUGUCCAUCCCAUCAUCCCUUUACCAAAAUUAUUGUGUCAUAUUUAAAUUUACAAAGUUAAUUUAGAUGAACUAAUAUAAACUUCUUUUUCAUUUUAAGUUAAGAUUCCAACGACAUCUUAACAACCAAAGUAUAUUAAGAAAAUAAAUCACGUACAUAUAGAUGGAACUUAAUUAAUAAAACUAUGAGAUUUUUCCAUUUCUUAACAUGAUUUAUUGUUUUCAUAUAUAUAUAUUUUAAUUGAGCUUCAAAUAUUUAAGAUUUCAUUUUUCUCGAAUCUAUUAUAUAUUUUAGGCUUCAUCCAUCCAUAAUUAUAUCAUAUUAUUAUUUCAUUAAAAUAAAUACAUUUUUAAAAUCAACAAAAUAUGAUAUUAAGACUGAUUCAUCUUUAAUAAUUAUUUAAAAGCACAUCUCAAAAUUGAUGAACUAUAAAGUUGAUUUCGAAAGUUGUGAAAUUGUAGGUUUUGGGUUUUUUUUAAAGAAAAUGAAAAUAAAAAAAUAAAAUAAAAUAAAAAAACCAAUAUCAUUUUUAAAACUAUAACUAUUAUGUUGACUUGAUUUUCACUACAAAGAUUGUACAACUUUUGUACUAUUUGAUAAUGACACCAUUAAAUGACAAAUCCAUUAAAAAGAGUUGAAAAUCACAAAUACAUUCCAAUAUGAAAUGUAUCAAUUAAAUUUGUCUUUUGAACAAAUAUUAAUAUCAUAUUUUGAAGAACUUUCACAUGAAGAGAUAACCCAAUCUUCUUCAUCAACUUUUCAUAUAUAUAUAUAUAUAUAUAUAUAUAGUUAAUUAGAAGCUCAAAUCUUCAUUAACAAUACCAUUCAAUUAAAGAUAAUUAGGCUUUUCAUUCUUUUUACACAAUUUCAUUUUUAUUUUUUAAUCUUUUAUUUUAAUUGUUUGAAUUUUUGCCAAAUCGCUCAUAAACCGAACUCAAUUAGAAUGCUUAACAUCUAUUCAUGUUGAUCAAACUAAUUAAUAAAAUCAUUUAAAACCAUAUUUUACAAUUCAUAUAUGGCUUAGUCAAUUUGAAACAAAUUAAGAAUAAAUUUAAAAGAAUGUUUUGGAAGUAUAAAAUGUGGGGAUAAGGAAAAAAAAGGAGAUUGGGAAGAUGAAUGUACCAAAGAACAUGGAGAAAAGAAAAGGAAAAGAAAGUGUUAGAUCAUGUUUGGUCAAUUUUUGUUGGCCAACAAAUUGAAGCAAAUAUAUAACAUAAGAGAGAGAGAGAGAGAGUAGAAGAGGCAAAGACUUGGAAGGCUGCUCUACUUUUUUCAACAUGUAGGUGCAUGCAAAGACUUCACAUUAUUUUCUCUCUUUUUCACAUACCUUUUUUUAAUAAAUUGAACCCUAUAUUAUUUUUUUAUAUAUAAUAGAUUAAAUUACUACUUUAAUUUUUAUAUGUAGUUUAAAGUUCCUUUAAUCUAAAUAAAUCUUAAAUUGAGUGGUUUCAUCUUUUGUUAUUUAUUAUCAUUUUCACUCUAAUUUUCUAAAACACGUUUUCAUAGUAUAUUUUUAUGGGAUAAUUAACUUUUCAUAGACUAAUUAAAUUUAAAAAUACAAAGAUUAAAAUUAAAUAUUUGAUAAUAAAUCAACCAAAUUCAAACAACAUAAAUAGUAUAAUGACUUUUAAAAGAAUAUUUUUAUCAUUAAUUUCAAAUGAAAACAAUUAAUAUACUUUGUUUAGAAAAUACUUCACUUCAAAUAAUUAUGAAAUUUGAUUUUAAUUUUAAUUUUAAUUGUGAUAAACAUGUGUGAAAAUUAAUUAGUUAUUAAUUUUUUAAUUUUUUAUUAUUUAAUUAAUGGAUAUGAACACUAACCAAGAAAAAUGUAUACUUUUUAAAAUCGUGACUAAAAACGUAAAUUUUAAAAUUUGCCUGAGUAUCCGAUAGAAUCUUUACCAAAAAACCAAGGAUAAAAAAAAAUUACACUCAAACAUAACCAAAAGUUCAAUGGCACGUAAUUGUAAGCGUGAUUUACAACAUCAACUCAUGUAUGGAUGAAGAAAAAUUAUAGUAAAUGGUUAAAUGGUAAAAAGUAGGUAAAAUAUAAUAAAACUUCAUACAAAAUCUAUCCAAAAAAUUUAUAUAUAUUUAGUAAAUAUUUUGGUUGAAAUGUACAUGGAAGGAUUGAAAAAGAAAUACAUAUAAAAAACAUUUAUAAUUAAAAAUAAAAGAUCAUAUAUACAAUAACUUAAUCUUUAUACUUUUGAAAUUUUAAAAUUGAUAAGGUGUACGUUGAAUCAACCCCUCUGUUCCUAAUUUGGAAGAAGAAAAAGAAAGGAAAAUUAUGAAGUGUAUCUGAAAGAGAAAAGUUGGUAAUAAUAAUUUUAUGGUUAUGUGUGUAAGAGUAUUGAUGAUGAUAUGUUGAAAUGGACAACAAACUACUUCAAGUAUAUACACACACUUUCCCAUACAUGAAUGUGGAAUUUGUUGGAGCAAAAUACUAUUAUUGUUUUCUUUUUCUUUAUUAUUAUUAUUAUUAUUAUUAUUUAUCUCUUUCUUUUCCCUUAAUUUAAUUGCUAUAACUUUUUUAGUUACGUAUAAAAAGAGAAUUGUGUGACCCAUUUUCGUUCGUGGGUUUCAAUAUUUUACAAUAAUGUUUACCAUAAAAGAACAAAUUUAUAUGAAUUAUAUAUAACACAAUUAUUAUUUACAUCAUAGAAUUACAAUGAAUAUCACAUGUUAAUUAGAUUAAUUAUAAUGUUUCUGAAAUCUAAUUAAUCAAAUGUUGAAACUAUAAGAGAGAGAGAAAAACCUAUCUUUUUUUUUUUGUUGGGCUUUGAAAUUGAAACAAAAAAAAUUGAUAUCAAAUACAAAAUAUAUAUAUGAUAAAAUAUAUGUGUAACGGUACAACUAAUACAUAUAUGAUAUAAUGGCUCACCAUUUAGCUUUUCAUGCUUGAAAUUAUAGGAAUCAAAUUUUUAACGUUCUCAUGUUUAAUUGACACCAUUUUCAUAUUUUAUUUUUUAAAGACUUUUGGGAAUAUAUAUAUAUGUAUGUAUUUUGUAUAAUUUAAACCAAAACAAAAAUGGUUAAUAUUGGUUAGGUGAAAACUUGUGGAAUGUAUGUGUGUAUACUUAAAAAGAAAAAUGGUGGCUGCCAUACAACAACAAAACAAAAAACCUUUUAUUUUGUUUGGCUUAGUUGAACUAUUUAAUCAUUGAGUUGAUAAUUGUAAGUUUGACUGUGUCAAGUUUAAUUGCACACAUUUUUCACUCUUGUUUUUUCUAAUAAAAAAAACCAUCACUACAUUUAACUAUUUUAACUUUCCAAAUUUAAAGUUCAAAAUUUAAAGUUAAAGAUAAGGAGAAAUACCUCUAUGAUUUACAUGAUGUGUGAUUUUCGUUUUUUAUUAUUUGAGUUGAUAUCACAUUAAUUUUGAUUUACAAACUUAUGUCAACUAAUUUAUAACAUGUGAGUUUGGAGAUAUUAGUAACAUUGAACGAUUGAUUUUUGUUUGUUUUAACAACUCCAAACAUAAAAGUGGGAAAAGGGUGAAGAGAAGACAGAGAAAAAAAAAAAAGAGAUGAAAUGAAGAAACUUUGAAAUAAAAGAUAGAUUCAAAAUGUUAUUAUUCCAAUGAGAGGAUAUGCAAAUAAUAGUAUUUUGGAUAUAAGUUUAUUUUAUUUUGGGUUUGGUUGGUUUCAAUUGAUUGAUCCAAUUUUUCAAAUUUUUGUCUUAGCUCAUUGUUAUGUUAGUUGCUCCCAUUUCCUUUUAUUUAUUUAUUUGAUUAAAUGUGUUAGUUUUGUAUUUUUAUUUUAAUUGGUGUAUGUUGAGUAAAAAAAAAAAAUACAUAAAUUAACAUAUGACUGUAUAUCUGAAUUCAAUGAGUUUUUCAUGUAUGGGAUCUAGCUACCGCGAUAAUUGUUCUUAGAAUUUUGAGGGAGAACACCAUGGUGUAUAUGCGGCGAGUUCCAAUGCAGAAAAAUUUCAAAGAUAUAGUAUCAGUAAUCCUGGAAUGAUAGCGUACACCAUUAUAUUUUCUUCCAUGAUUAUAUGUAUAGAGUUACAAUUAUCAUGUACUCAUAAACUAUUUCAUAAGACAAUAAAUGUUCUCUUCCUAUGAGUCUGAAACCCUCCAUGUGUAAAUGUUGUAUUAUUGAACUAAGUUACUAAUUCUCCUGUGUUAUGAUUAUUAUUUUCGUUGUUGUUACUUCACUUAUUAGCUUAAUCGUUGUCUUAAGUCAUCAAAUUACCAAAAUCUUUAUAGAAUUAAAAUGAUAAAAAAAAAAAAACCAUUUUUAUCUAAACCCAUGUUUUUGGUAAAUAUUCAUAUUGAAAUAUCAUAGAAAUUAUAUAUGGUUGGAGGUUAGUGGUUAAAUAAUUUAAUUUAAUCAUUAAAGAAUUGUUAUUGAAAAAAAAAAGGUUGGAAGAGAAACACCUUUUCAAAUGGUUCGCUGUUGAAGCCUUUCUUAACAUUAUCCGGCCCAUAAAAUAUCGGCUUCAGCCCAUCUAAAACUCUUUUUUUUUUUUCUCUCUUUUCUUUUUUGAAAAUGAAAAUUCAAGCAUGUUGUUUACAACAAAUUGAGCAAAUUUAUAGCUAAAGUCUAUAAUUUUUUAUAUAUAUAUUUGUAAAUAUUUUGAAUGAUUUUGUGGUUUGAUAUAUAAUAUUGUAGUUGAUUGGUUUAUGUUGAAGUUGGUGAAUUGAUAAAUCAUUUGGGUUUCUUUCCACUCCACGUUUACUCCCCCCAGAGUUAAUAAUCCAUCUGAAGUUUAAAAAAGUCAUAUCCUAUGUUUAAAAAAUACAUGAAAAUAUAUAUAAAAAAAAAGGACUUUGUGUGAUUGUUGAACGCUCCUCUUCUCUCUCUAAAUCAACGCUUUAUAUGUAUAUUUGUUCCUCCACUCUGUUGUAUGUCUCUUGUUUGUGGCCUUCGCCUCAUAUAUCAAUCUACAACACCCAUUUUUCAAUAGUUCUCUUUUACCUAUGGAUAAUAACUGUUUGAGAUAAUUGAUAUCUAUGAUUGAAUAUGCAUGGUAGAGAGUUGCAUGUAUGUGUUUGUUUUACUAAAUUUAUUCAUAAAACUAAUUUCUGUUUAUAGAUAUAAAAACUAACUAAUUCUAUAUAGUCUAUGUGCGUAAAUAUUUUAUUUAUGUUCUAUUGUCAAUAUGAAGAGUAUAAGCAUGUCUAGACGAGUCACUGUUAGAUAGAUGAGACUCUCAACAAGUUGUCGAUAUAUGCUGGUAUCUUCUAGAGAAACACUAUCAAAAGGAUUCACGUGAACAUUGGGAUUAACAGUGUCGAAGCAGUCUUGGAGUCAGUGAUUUUUUAGUGGGCUACAAGUAUCUACCAGACCGUCGAGAAGCUACAAGACCAAUAAAAUAGUUGAGAGAGCCAAGGUCUUUCAUCUCAAAAUGUUCACCAAAAUAAUGUUAGAGAAUAGAUAUGACCUGCGAAUCAUCACUAGUAAUUAGAGAUGUCCAUCGGCCAAGGCACGGGGCAAGGGAUGCCUCUCCCCUAUCCCAUUCUCCAUCCCUACAAAUUUUCCUGUUGGAACAAGGUGGGUAUUCCGUAGGGAUUGGGUUUCCCGCGGGAAAAUAUUCCCCCUUUGGUUUUGAUAAAUAAAGAAACAAACAAGGUAUUUUUCCUAUUAGAAAACAAAAUUUGUGUCAUCCUUCAAUGAUCGUUUUCACUGACUGAAACCAUGAAAAAUAGUUAUAAUCAUUCAAUUUUUUUCCUGAAAAAUAUCUUGUAAACUGUGUCAUUGUAUUACUCGCAUAAGCAGAGGAUAAAAUGGGGAACGAGGUUACCACAUUCUUAGAAUAUAUCGGUAAAGGUGCAUGAAGGCCAUGACCAAGAGUGUUGGAUGUCAUCCCUAAGGUAGCCUCAAGGUGCUAUAAUUUGUUGUUGAAGCUCUUCUAAUUGAUGGUGAGUCAUACUCAAAGAAGAGGCAGAAGCUUGCAUAUUAGGGUUGGAAUGUGUUGAAGAUUCACCAACCACAAAUGUUGAGUGAAUUUAAGGAUUCCUAAUCUCGGGAUAAUAACUAGGGUUUGCAAAAGAAGCAGUGUGUAGCAGCGCAUACAGAUUCGACUCUAGAAGUAGCAAGUGACUGAAUGGAAUUAGGUGGCAGUACAUGGAGCGGCACACUUUAGUGGCAUUACAAGUUACAAAUGAAAGACAAGGGAGACAGAAAAGGGUUGGCCGACGUGAUUUGAACUAAGCUAGUUUAGAGGUUUCCGACCACUAUGUGUGGAGCUCCAAUGGCGGCACAUAGAGGCAUGGAUGACGGAAAGGGUGACAGAAUCACAUUGGCCGACAUUUUCUAAAGGCACCGAAACCACUCAUAUCCAUGGUAGUGUUUAUCCGAGCAUCAAUGACGACGACGCUAAUACUGGUGGUUGUCUCCUUUCUUUGGUCUCCAUCAAGAAUUGUGUGGUCUAGGGUUCAAUCAAUAUCUUACUCUGAUAUCAUAUCAACAAAUAAAGACGAAUAAUGAACACAAGAUCUACGUGGAAACCCUAUAGUACAAGGAGAAAAACCAUGAUAUAUAUGUAUUUUUUUUUAUUAUUUUCUAAUAAUCAUAAGAUACAUAAAAUUGAGGAAAAUUUAUAAACAUGUGUCUAAUUAAAGGUAAUUAAAGGAAUAAAAAACUAAGGUAAAGUAAAUAUUACCUAUCCAUAGGCUUUCAUCAUGACGUGAGCCCAUUAUUUCUAAGUGUUUCUUUACAUAUACUAAUAAAACUUAAACAAAUUUCUAAACUAUUAUAUAAUAUGCCUUGUAGUUAGAAGGUGACAUAAAUGAAUGAAUACCACAUUCGAAUGAAAAGGAUUCAAAAGAUAUAUAUGAAAGUUAUGAUUAAUAAAGAUUUAAAAGAGAAUGGAAAUUGUAUACUAAUAAAAUGUACAUUUCUAUCCGAUAACUCAAUUAUAAAAACUUUAAAGUUAAACAUACUUAGGUUUGAGCAAUCAUAUAUUAAAUGACCUUCUCAAACAAAUUUCAAAAUUUUUCAAGAUACGUAUGAGUAAAGAGCAUUGCUCUAGAACUACCAUAAAGUUACACAAUUCCACCUAUACUAAUUAAUUUAUAUUAACAAUUAAAAUAUAUUGAUUAUCUAAUAAUCAUUUUUAUCAAAAUUUAAACUCUAAUUUCUUUGGUGGUGAUUCGAAUUUUAUGAACUCUAGACGGAUAAAGAACAAUUAAUAAUACUUUAAUUAUUAGUUUUAUUAUGUUGUUCAUAACCUUCCAAGUUGACUUUCAUUUCAAUUAACAUCUUCAUAUAUAUAAUACAUUUUAGGCCAUCUCUUACAUUUUAUAUAUGAAAAUAUAUAGUUGGAUCCAACCCUUAAACAACAUUAUUAUUUAUUCCUUUUAAUGAACUAACAUCUUUGGGAAGUUGAAUAUUCACUUCACCAUACUCAAUAAAAGCAUAAAACCUAAGUUCUACCACACCACACUACCCUUUGUAAAGAAUAUUUAAAUUUUAAAGUUAAAAGGUAAAGAUUCGAACCUACUCCACGUGACAAUCAACUUAGUCAUUUAUGAUCAUGUUUUUUUUCUUUUUAUCAUUAGGUCAAUCCAUAAUGGCCGUGUUAUGAUGAAACUUAGUUUAUGUUUGUCGAUCUAAACAUUGUUCAAUUGGUUUUUUUUUCCUUGAAUACAACAAGUAUAGAAUAUGAAAAUUGAGGUUUCUAACGACCCUUGUGAAAAAUGAGUAUAAAGAAUUACUAUGUUCGUAUUAGCUGAGAAUUACUAACUUAAGUAGAUAUAUAUAUAUAUAUAUAUAUAUAUAUAUAUAUAUAUAUAUAUAUAUAUAUAUAUAUAUAUAUUCUUAACCCGAAAUGUAAUUCAACUAAAACCCUACAUGGAGAAUUUUUUUAUUGAAAACGAGAGGGGAGAGAGAGAGAGAGAGUUGUAGUCAUUUAACAAAACAGUGCCUCAUUGCUUUAAGAAAAGUUAAAGGAACAUUUGGAGGAUUAUUGUGUGGUGUUGAUUGCAAGAAAAUAGUAUGAAGAACCAAUAAAGGUGGAAGAAGGGCCUUCCCACUAUCAUUUCAACAAACUUCCAUUUUAAAUUCAAAUAGUGAUAGUGACUAAAUAUGAACCCUAACAUUUUAUAUACUCCUUUUAUAUUGCACUACUAUUACUUUUUCUUUUUUGGUUUGGAGCAUAAGAAAAGAUACUUUUAAAAAGAAAAAAUAGAAUAAGGGUAAACCAGGGCUGCCUCAAUGAUGAGCAAAUAGAGUAUCGUGUCGGAAGUUGACGGUAGGAGAGCAUUAAAUCACACAACGACUCGUUUCAAAGAAACUUAAUCCGAUGGAUUAUAUAGUAAACUUGGUUAUAUCGAUCCUUUAAAACUUUGCUUUGCUUGUCACCUUGAGUCGUGGAAACCUAACAAAUUAAAAUCAAUAUUAAUUAGAGAUGAAAUAGUAUUAUUGGAAUUUGAAUGCAUUGUAUAUUGUCUUAUGUUGUGCUCAAUUUAUUGGAAUGUUUUGAAUUUGUUAUAUGGUGGUUCCAAUGAUAAGGAACAACACUGACUCGUAACCCUAUUUAGAAUUUGUAUCUGACACAAUUAGAUCUUAGAAUCUAAAAUAAUGCACUAUAUAAACUCUUCAUCCCUAAAUGCGCUAUUGUUCUAUAUUAUGUGACAUUCUCUUUAAUAAAUUAAAAAUUUUCUUCUUCUAUAUCCUAUAGAUAUAACUAACACAUUGUUAACGAGCCAAGUAAAUCUGUUUAUUGAUUCUCUAUUCUUUACGUUAACUAUAUUCUUUAUUUGUUGAUUUCGUAACAUCAAUCAUUAUAGAAAUUCGAAAAACAAAAGAUGAUAGACUUAUAAUAUAUUAAUAUUAUAGAGAAAUUGGAAUGGAUAACCAUUUCAGCAAUAAUAAUUAAGGAUAUAACAAAAUUUUAAAAAAAUUGCAAAUAUAGCAAAACUAUCACUGAUAGACUUGUAUCGUUGAUACACUUCGUAUAAUCUAUCAGUGAUAGACCAAUAUUUGCAACAUGGUCUAUCGUUGAUAGACUCAUAUCAUUGAUAGAAUUUGACAAAUUUUUGCUAUAUUUGCAAAUUUUUUAAAGUGUUGCUAUAUACUUAAUUAUUUUGAAUCUAAUUACUAAAUUUACAACUACCCCUUAAUUAUAUUACUACUCCAACAAAGAUGGAUGUUAAAAAUUAGGGAGACCAAAAUUUCCAUAAACAAAGAAUGUCAAAUAACAAAUGAAAGUAAUACUAAUUCUCACUCAUAAAACUUCAUUUUAUAUAUCUAAACUUUAAUAUUUUUACUAGUCCAUAUACUCAUUUUUUAGUCAAGAAGCAUUUCUUUAUCCCAAACAAAAUUAUUAUAAGAUAACGUUUGAUCUCACUAUUAUACGCCGAUUUCUAAAUUCAAUAAAGAAGUCUUUCAAUGAACUUAAUCUUUAAAGAAUAUUUACAAUUUUUCGAGUAGGGAAUGCAAAUUUCUUUUUCUUUUACCUAUAAAUUUCAUUAAUUUUUUCAUUGGUCAAACAAGCAAUAAAUAAUUAAACAUACAUAUAGACCAUUCUUUCAUUUUUUAGAACUCUUCAAUGUGUUAUUGAAACUUCAUAAACUUUAAAAAGGAGUCAAAGUGGUAUGUUUGAUUCCUUUUGAAGAAGAACAUAUAAUAUAUACACACACACAUAUAUAUAGUAUAGUAUAGAGAGGCUAAUAGGGCAUAGAAGAGACAACUGUUAUUGUCUUGUCAAACAAAUAAACAAAAGAAAGUCUUCUCUUUUAAAACCACUAUUAGGAAUAUUCCAUUUAGAUUAGAUUACUAUUUAAAUUGCAUUUUUCCUUUUCCCUUUGUGGAUUAAUAUGACCACACACACAUAUAUAUAUAGAAAGAGAGAGGGGGUUGAGUAUUGGAUGCUCGACUUUUUACAUGCCAAGUUUAAAGUUUAAACUUCUUUUUCUCAAUUAGGUUGAUUAAAGGAAAGAUUAAUUCUUUUAGAUGAUCAUUCAAAAUAAUGUUUAGUGUGGUAGAAUGAAGAUCAGAACACUUCCAUAUUUUAUUGAAGUUCUUGUAACAAAAAGUAAAUAAGUGCUUCUUAUUACUCUUCCACUCCAAAUAUUGCUAUAAUAAAAUGUAUUAAGUCAAUCUACAGAUAAUUGAGUUAGGUCAAUACCACUAAGUCAAAUUUACAAGGAGUUAGUCACAAUAGUCUACUCUUUGUUUAUUUAUUUUUGUCCAUAAAACACAAAAAAACGACCAAACUACUUCUCGAGAUUUUAUUAUUUAGCUUUGUUCUUUUCUUAAAAGAAUGUUAUUACUAAUCCAUUUCUAUAUCCUUAUAGCUUGUGUAAAUGCAAUCAUUAACCCAAGAUAUUAAAAAGAAAACUUAGCCUACUUAGUAGGACCUUUAGUAUAUAUGUGUAUGUAUAUGUAUAAAUAUAAAGUGACUUAUGAGAUAAUUUUAUAUCAAUUUAAGAGCUAUUUUUAAAUACAAUAAAAUGAAUAAAAAAAUUUACAAAAUAUUAUGGUUUAUUUAUAAUGGACUACAAUAUGUCUAUCAAAUACAAAUAGACUUGGUGACUAUUUUGAUCAAUUGUGGUCUAAUUUCUUAUAUUUGUAAAUAUUUUUUUAAAAAAAUAGCAUUUUAAAAUAAUUGUAUUUAAUUGAAAAGAGAAUAAAUCACAAAGUCCAAACUAAUUUAUUUAUAUAUUUUUAGUUUUUAAAUUAAUAACAAUUAUUAGUUUGGAGUUUAUUUAUAUAGUUGGGAUGUAUAAUUUGAUUUUUUCCCCAAAAAUUUAUUAUUAUUUUAAAGUGAUAUGCAUACUGUGGGCAUUGACGACCCACAAAUUAAAUAAAUAUAAGACAAUUAUAUAACAUCUAAAGAAACCAUAAUUCCAUUUUACUAAGCUUCAUUUAGUACUUUCUUAUUAGAUAUUAAUAUUAAUAUGAAAAUAGUCUCUUUUGUUUUCUUAGCAAAGGAUGGAGAUAGACAUUUGUAUUAGCCUAACUAAUAAUCAAUGUGGGUCUAAAAAUUGCCUCUUUACAAUAAAUGAGUGAAAAAAAUAUGUAGUUUGACCCAGCAAUAGCUAUAUAUAUAUGGAUUGGCAUAUGAUGAACAAUAUAAUUGAGUUCAAGUCAAUGGUCAUUUUUAGGCCAUAAAUGCAGUGUUUGAAAGUUUUCAUUUUUGAGAUAGAGAAGAAGAUCACAUUAAUUACUGUACCUUCAGAAAUUUUUCAUUCGAUUGGUUCUUGUUUGAUGGCUUCCUAUAUGAAAUCCUUGAGUAGGCACGGUGAAAGGCUAAUUGCAUGUAGCAAUAAUCAGUUUUCUCGACCAAUCGAUAUUCGAUCAAAGCCUUGGAUUUUCGACAUGUUGGAAAAACAAAAUCACUAGAAAUGAUCAUUCAUAAAGUUAACCCUGAAUCAUGAUCUGCAAAAGCAAAUCUCUCAGUAAAGCCUAACAACAAUGCACUAGCUUUAAGUGUCUAGUUCUCCUCAUCAACAUAUUCACAUCAGAGCAACAUGAUACACAAUAAUCAUAUGAUAGAGCAAUCCAUGAUUGCUAAAUGAGAUCGAUUCUUUUAAUUAAUAACCAUAUCCUAAGUUCUAACAAUCAAAAAUCUCCCAAAAAAAAGAAAAAGAAAUGAAAGGAAAAAGUUCAGUGAUAAUGUUGGUGCAUUGGUUGCAUCUGAAAAAUAGUAUAGUAAGGUGCAAUUGGAGAUUCAAUAAUGGUUUCUUUCAGCAAGUUCUGUUCCUGUUGCUGAGUUCCAUUUGAAGGCAUAACCAUAAACAUGUUACCGUUUGACGAAUCAAGAACUUGGUUCAAAGACUCCCAGUCGAAUUGCUGGUCGGUGCUGUCAACCAUUUUUGACAGCUGAUGGAGGUGUGUAGCCAUUGCAGCAGGAUCUGGGGAUGGAGGUCUGUUACUAUCUCCUAAUGGAGAUUUCAUAUCGGGGAGAUUGACGGUCGUGAUGUCGUGGAUGCUCGAUCUUCUCUUAUCCUUUCCACCACUUAGCUGUCUAAUGAAGUACUUUUGAGCAUGACUAGCGACUUGUGUUGGUGUUCUUGUCGUCACGAAAUUGCGAGAAAUGUUUCUCCAGUCACCUUUACCAUAUUUUUUAAGACCCAUCAGAAAUUGCCUGUAGUUGUAAAACAACCCCAAAUCAAAAAGCUGAACAGCCAUGAGAUAACCAACAAAGCACAAACUCAACUGACAAAGACAAGAAACUAUUGGAUAUAUAUAUAUAUAUAUAUAUAUAUAUAUGUAUAUUCAUUUACACAAUUUCUUAAUCAAGACAGAGCAAGACAAAACACUGAGGGCAUGUUUGUGGAUAAUUAUAAAAUGGUUUAAUUAAUUUUUAUUUCAUGUUUAAAAUUACUCUAAAACAUGUAUUGAAACCCUUCAAAAUUAAGUGUUAAAUUGAUUUGGAACGAUCAAAGAUUUAGAGUUAUUUUAACUUGGUAAAUGUCCUAAACAGCCCUCUAUUCAUAUAACAUUUCAUCAAGAAACUAGAUAACAAUCCUCUAAUCAUAUAACAUUUUAGAAUCAAGAAACAAGAUAACAACAAUCUGAAUGAAAAUUCCCAUUCAAUGAUAACAAAGCAGAGAACGGAGCUAAAACUUACCUGUGUUCCUCUUCUGUCCAUGGAAUUCCUUUCUUCCUUUCAUGAUCGGAAGGUCUAGUAGAGGUUCCUCUCUUAACACCAGAGCCAUAGAAAUGGCUCAACCCAUCAAAUCCGUGGCUGCUAUCAACUCGUUCCAAUGUAAACGAAUGACGAUUAGCAUAUCCACGAAUUGGAAUCAAACCAGCCUCUAUAUCACUAACAUCUUCCUCCAAUUCUUGAUACUGCUUAAUCACAUCACCGAUGGUUUUGCCGGGAAUCAUGGCGGCAACUUUAAACCAUCGAUCGGAAGUAUCUUCAUCGUACAAAGCCAAAGCAUUCUCAAACCGUUUGUUUUCCUCGGGGGUCCAUUGGGUUCCUUUAGUUUCUUGAAAUAGCCAGUUAGAAUUUCGAAGAUAGGAAGCUGGAGAAAGAAAUUCCAUAGUAAAAAAAAAAAACUCUCAAAAUCCCAAAGAGGAAAUGCAGAGCUUUUUAGGUCAUGAACGCAUUAAAAACAAGAGCAUCUGAGAGGAAUCAGUGAAGCCUUUUCACUUAGAACAGAGAAAAGAAAAUUUUGGGGAAUCUUGAAAAGACUUCUUUUACUUUUCAGAGCCCUAGGAAGAUUCGUGAGAGGACCAAAACAAAACCCUAGAAGCUCAGUUUCAGAUCCAAUACAACAACAAAACACAAUUACAGUAAAUCAAUAAUCCUUCAUGGCCAUAGUUAAAGCUGGGAUUUGAAGAGGAUUACAGAGGGUAUUAUUUUGUAUCAAAAAACAGUGAAUAGAGGUCGACCCAUUAGAGGAAAAGCACGAAGAAGGCAAAAUCAAUGGGAAAGAAGAAGACCCAGAUGGAAAAAAGAAGACCCAAGAGAUUUAAAAGGGAGAAAUAGUGAAAAAUGCAAGGGAAAUUCAGGUGUAUGAGAAUGAGAAAACCCUAGGUGUUGUAGGUAGUGAUGGGAGUGAGAAUGGAUGGGGAAAAUUGGGGGUUGAGUUUUUGAGUAGUGUGAGAGGUUGUGUUAUGUAAGGAGGAAUGAAAUGCAGAGAGAAUUAAAGAGAGUGAAAAUGAAAGGUCAACAGUGUUGAGUUGUAAUUGGUGGGUCUGGUGAUUGUGGGAGCUGAUUCUUCACACAAAAGCUUUUAGAGAGAGAAAAUAAAAAGAAACACAAAGAGAUGCCAAUUGCCAAACCAUUCCAAACCAAAAUGCUGCUUCUCAUCACUAAACUCUAAAAUAUCCUAUCUCAAAUCCAAACCAUACUCCACUUCAACUCUCACUUCUUUUAUAUGAAUUUGAGGUUUAAAUCUACCUGAAUGUAUCUUUUGAAAAUUUACACAAACAAAUCUUAAAAAAUAUAUUUUUAAAUUAAUAAAUAAACAUUUUAAGUUUUAGUUAUUUUAUAAAUUUUAAUAUGACAUUUUGUUAUAUUUAAAAAUGUUUUAAAAAGAAACCUAUUUUUUAGAAGUAAAGUUAAAACACAUCAUUGAAAAGUUGAAGGGAAGGUUAGACAUUUAAUUAAACCAAAGUAUGUCCAUUUUCAACCCAUUCUAUAUUGUAUUGAGACAUCCCUCAUCACAUGGCUGUGAAUUUAGGUUAAAAAGUAGAGUGGUUUUUUCUUCAAAAUCUGUUGGCUCUAUAAAAAUUUUGAUACAAAACUUCAAAUAUAAGAAGACAUAUUACAUAAUAUUAAUCUCACAUCCACUUGUUUAAUGCUUAUAGCAAAAUUAAAUAGAUAUUGGUGAAAAUGGAAUCCCAAUGAAAAGGUGGCUAUAAUAAUUGUAACCACUAUUGCCCAAUAGAGUAAAGAACCCAAAAAGAUAGAGAAGAAUCUAGACUUUUUUUUUCUCUCUUCUUUCUUUUUUUCCCUAAUUUUUGCAAAAUUAGAAAAGAAAAAAAAGCUAAUUAAAAUUCUCUCUUUCACACAUUGUACAUAAUUAAGAAUCUUUGUCAAUUUGUUUCAAGAACACAUUUGUGGAGUAUUUCUGGGCCAAAUGACAUAUUAUAUACUUGAAAUUCUCAUCAAGAAACUUAUGGUUUACAAAAAAGAAAGAAAAGAAAAACACCCAUAUAAUUAAAGUUAUUCAAAAAGAAAAAAAAGUUAGUUAAAAAAACAACUUUUUUAAAGAUACCAUAGUGCAAUAAAGAAUGUUGAUUUGAACUUGCAACUAACUUAUACGUUAUCACUUAAAUUACAUUGAAGGCUACAAAUAAGAACGAUGUUACUACAAUUUAUAUAGAGAAAAUAUCGAAAAAUCAUACCCUAAAUUUUAUAGGUUGUAUUAAUUCAUUAUGAUAUGCUUGAAACAAAGUUCAUGUAAAAAUUAUAAUUUUAAUUCAUUGUUCAAACCUCCAAUUGAAUCGAUUUAAUUAUACUUUUAGUAAAACAUUUAUGGGAGAAUAUUGUUCAUCCAUAUAUUUACUAUAAUCAUCUAUUUUGUUAAACAAACAUUUUAAAAAUGCAACAUGCACACUAACGAUUUUUAAAGGUUGUUGUAAUGAAAUGUCCAAAUUGGUUUAGAUAGAAAAUUUUAAUUAAUAGUAUAAUUAAUUGACUCAAUUAUAGAUGAAAGUGAAAAUUAAUACAACUACAAAAGUUUAGGAUUUAAAUUAAAUGAUGUAAUCUCUAAAGUUUACAAAUAGAAAUGAAUUAGAUGAUAUAUUAUUAGUUUGAUAAGUUAAGACAUAGGGAUUUGGAGAGUGUGGGAGUUCCAAACAAUAAGGGACACAGUGAGGAAAUGCCAUUGGUGGUUUGAUGAAAAAGGAGAUUUUCAUAGUACUUAUGGGGGCAUUAAUGACCCUAAAAGUGAGUUUAAAAGUUGAUGAUUAAUCAUAAACAAGAUCUAAUGGGUUAGGUAGGAAUGAAGUACAUUCUUAUAUUAUAAUUAUAGUCUUAUAUAUUAAAAUAACAAUCUUAGCUAAAACAAAAUUUUAAAAAAACAAUGACUAUAGUCCCACAUACAACCAACAUUUUACAGGUAUCAAAGGGAAUAAAGAAAGAAAUUAAUAUAUGUAUAUAAAUUUAAAAAUGGACAUUGAAGUUGAUGCAUAAUUUGUCCCAUUUCCUACAUUUGGCUUUACAUUAUGUGAUUGCUUUUCUAAUAUGUUGGGCACUUUGAAUGAAAAAUAACAAACCACUAACAAUUAUAUUCUAAUAUUCAUUUUUUUAUUAUUUUUUUCUUUUUUGGCAGCCUUUUUUUAAUUUAUAGUAUAAAAUAAUCAAAAGGAAAAAUAAAUUUUGUUAUUUUACUAAAAAAAUAUUUCAUGUAUGGAGUGAAAGGGGACAUGUGUAACUGUGUGCAUAAGUGAAGUGCUUUUGUUGCCUCUACUUUUCCUUUUCUUUCCAUGAUUAAAUGUUUGUGUGUGUGUGUGUGUGUGUGUUGUGAGUGCUUCUCCACCUUGCAACUCAUAUGCAUCUCUAUUACUUUUCUUUUGCAGAAGUGAUUUUGACGUUGAAUUGGCCAUUAUGAAUAUUAUUAUAAUUAAUUUGAUUAAAUUAAUUAAUCAAUAAAUUAGUAAUUUCAAAUAUACAUUAGUUUGGGUGCUCGUACAUCUCGAGAUUCAUGGUCAAGUUUUAUGAACUAAAAUGUUCCUAUAAACUUAAUUGUAUUUUAGCAUUGUCUCUUCUUUGGGUAAUAUUUGGUUUUUGAAGUGUUGGAGUGCUCUUGUAAUUACUCAACCAUACACUAAGUAUCGUUAGAGCGUCUUUCUCUUCCUCUCUUCUUCUUUUAGAACAUUUUGGUUAUCGUUCUCGACUCCGUCUAUAAAUCAAAUUUAAUAUAAUUAAAGAAGGUUUUUUUUGUUGAAUAAAUUCUUUUUUAAAAAUAAAUAAUUAAUUAAAAUAAAACACACAUGCUGACACAUAUGUGAACUCAACAUCUUUUUCUUUUAACUUCGUACAGUCAAUUUUAUGUGUUUUUUUUCUUUUUGUUAAUCAUCACUCCCAACUUUAUAUUUCUUCACUGACAACUUUUUUCAAUUUUGAAUUUAACAACAAAAGCCUUCAAAUAUUGUUUUUAUCGAAUUUUUAAAAUUAAAAUGAAAGUGCUCAAAGUUGGAAGGUAAAACGAAAACCAACCUCAUAGCUCAACAUAUUUUACCUAAUUCGACUUCAAAAUUAUUAAAUUUUGAGAUUUUAUGUUUAAAUUAAUUUAUUUACUUAUUCUUAGCAAAGCAACUCUUAUAACUUUAAUGUUAUAAAAUGUAGCAUACCAAAGUGAUAGGUAAUAGAAAUUCAAUAGGAUAUAUUUUGCACCCUUGAAUUAUUAUUAAUUUCUUUUAUGUAGAUUUUGUUUCACUAUAAAAAUAAAAAGUUAGAAAAUUAUAUGGAGAUGCGGGGGAUCGAACCCCGUGCCUCUCGCAUGCAAAGCGAGCGCUCUACCAUUUGAGCUACAUCCCCUUUUGUUAUAGUGAGCAGCACAAAAUUUAUAAUAUAAUAACUAAGAUUCUAUUAAACUCUACAAAGUCUCAACCAAAUAAUUAUUGCUAAGAGUCAUCUCUCCUCCCACUAAUCACUAUACUUGUCUCACCAUAAACAUAAUAUAACCUCCUCUUUCCAACAAUAUGAAAACAACAUUUCUCUUAAUGAGUGAUGAUAAACUUCACGUUACUUUUACAACAAUUAUGCGAGGAAUUGAGUUUUUAUUGAAAUUACACCAGGGUUAAAAUUUGUGUAAAUAAAUUUAAUGAACGUAUAUAUAAUAUUUAGUUGAUAAAUAUAAAUAUGUAAAAGACAUUACUAGAUAUUUAGUAAAAUAGUUGCAAUCUAUCUAAAAGUAAUUGAGUAAAGUGUUUCCUAUAAUUGUUAAGAUUUUUGGCUUUUAUUCUCAUUUGCCUAUUUCUAAGCUUCAAGAUUUUAGGGUUGGAAAAGGCCAACAACAAAGGGCCCAUUAUUUAAUGACAAUCCAAAUGCUAUUUCAUGGGCUCAAAAUUGAAGGCCCAUCAGAUGCUAAACAGGCCCAUUAACUUAUUGGGACAUACUCCAUUACCUCUUUUCUCACCAUUAUGUAUUUCACCAAACAAACUUUCUUUUCUUAAUUGGAACAUUUUCAAUAGCAAUAUUAAAAAAUGAUGAAUGUGGUGAGGAAGAUUGUCUUUCUUACCUCUUUUUUUUUUUUUUCUUCUUCUUCUUCUUUUUCUUUAGUGAUCGAGAAGAUUGAGGUAGACAUUAUCCUUUAAAUAUUAAAGUAGUUUGGUUCAUAAAUUUAGAUAAAAAACUUAACUUCAUAUUUUUUAUCUUUUUAACUUUUUCACAUUUAUCGAGUAAUUUUGAUUCUUUUACUUACACAAUUAUAAAAUUAUUUUAUUUUACAACUGCUUACUAAUUUCAGUAUAUUAACUCUAGAUUUAUUAACUUUAUUUGGUGGGUCUUCCCCAAAAAAGUUCUUAGGUCCUUUACCUUCCAAAGAAUUUCUCUAUUUUCCCUCUUUUGGGGUUGUUCAACAAAUCAAAAAUCUCUCAUCUUUUGACCUUAAAUUUGUACCUUUGCCUCUCUUUUUAAAUCUAUGCAUUUUCAGCUUAAUGUCUAAACUUACAAUAUACCGUUGACGUGUCCAAUUUUUUAAAAUUUAAUUACGUUACUUUUAACUUCUAAUUUAUAUAUCUAACAAGUCUCCAUCAUUAAUGAUUACAUGAUGGGUUGAAUUUCUCAUUUAUAGUAUUAAAAAUUAUGUCAAUUACUAGUGGGUUAAACUUAUUUUGACCUAUAAUGAGUAUCUAAUAGUUUAAUUAUAUGUCUAAUAUACCUUCCACAUUUUAUACAUUUCUAAAGUUCGAAUUUAAUUUUUUUAACAAAGUAUUUUAGAUUAAAAAUGUUAGAGAAAUUCUAGUUUCCGGUAAAUAUUUUUAAUCAUGAUAAAAAGAUAAACUUUGAUUUUUUUAAGUAGUUUAGUUUAGUUUUUUUUUUUUAAUCUUUCGGAGAAAGUCAAAACCAAAGUUGUUUUCAAAAUAGGGUUUUGCUAUUUUUAAAAGUAUUCCAUUUUUAAAUAAAAAAUUGACUCUCAAUUAUCAAGUGUUAUUUAAAGAAUGAAAAAGGAAAAAUAAUGAGAGGUAGCAAUUUUGAUAUUGGUUACCUACUCAAUCUUUAUUAUUUUUUCUAAUUUUUUUGAACAAAAUUAUUUAUUAUUGUCUAGCCAUAAAUAGAUAAAAAAAACUAAUUAAUAAAUAUAUAGAGACAUGUAGGGAUGGUAAAAUUUACUUAUGUCUCACCACCUAGUUAGAGAGAGACAGAGAGAGCCCUCAAUUUUAUCAUCUUUCAUUUUCUCUUAAAUUAAAUUGUAUACUAACUAUGGAAUGAUAAAAUUCAAACCAUCCAUCUAUAGAAUCUUUUCUAUGCCUUAGUUAUUGUGUUAUAAUACUGUACUUAACCUUGAUAAUUAAGGAAAAGUAUUCAAUAUAUUUUAAUUAGGAUGAUGUUAUUAACUUUACUCAUUCUCGAAUUUCUAAAAAUUAUGUUAUUUUAAUGAGCAACCAUAAAGAUUGUAGAUGAAAAUAGUGACAAAGGUAGGGUUGGAAAAUCAUCCACGUUGUGUACUCAAUUCAAAAUUUUAAACCCUACUUAAUUACCAUAAUUUUAGAUUUUAUCACAUAAUAGAUUAACUUGCUGUUGUUUUACUUCACUUAAAAUUGACAUUUGGUGUAAGUUUAAUUUUUUCAAAUUUUAAGUUUUCUAAAAUAUAAGAAAUUUUUCUAUGAACAAAAUAUGUUUAAAUUUGAGAGCAUCAGUUUUUUUAAAAAAAGUUAUAAGGAAAAAAAAAACACUGUGGAAAUUGGAAUAUUUAAAAUAAAAUUUCAACCAUAAAUUUAUUUUAAAUGACAAAGUUAAUUAAAUGGAAAGAAAAAGAGAAAAUUAUUUUAAAUGAUAAAACUUCUCAAUAUAUUUACCAGUAUAGCAAAAUAUCACAAUCUAUAUAAGUCAUAAAUCAAGAUGGAUUGUUACUUUUGUAUCUAUUUUAAUACAAAUAGACAUAUAUAGUAAUUUAUUGCAACGAGUCGUAGAUAAACGAUGAUAUUUUAUAAAUACUUUCAUUCAUUUUACUAUAUUUAAAAAUAAUCUUUAAUAAAUUAUUUUAAAAUAAUUUAAUUUAAGACAUAUAAGAUCUAGAAAAAGUUACAUUGUUAUUUAACUUUGAUAUCUUUAGUAAUUCAUAUAUAUUUCAAAAUAUAAAAUAAAAUAAAAAUUAAAGCGAAAUGUCUUAGUAGUUCACAUUCCUCAUAUAUAUAUAUGUGUUUUAAACUUUACAUGUGUCAUUUAAUAAUAAAAAGAAAAAAAAAACACUCUAAAAACAACUUAAAUAUUAAUGCUCAAAUUACAGACUAAAUUGUUUCGGAUUAAUAUUUUAACAUUUCUUUAAAAAAUAGUUAGUUAUAAUAAACUAUAUUAAUUUUGGUAGAAAAUAAUAAAGGUUGUAAUUUAAAGAGAAAAAAGAUAGUAUAUAUAAAAACUUCUAUAACUAGGUAGAUGACAAUGUUGUCCUUUUCUAUUUUUAUACUAAUUGGAAAAAAAAAAAAAGAGAUAUUUUACGAAUCUAUUAGGUUAGUAACUUAGGAAUAAAUGAUAGCUUAAAAAAAUCAAAAAGUCUUUCCAACUUAUAAUAGCUCGAUAAAAUUAGCUAAAAUUAAAAUUUGUAACUAAAGAACAAUUUCAGAAGUCAAAAAGUUACUUUUACCAAUGAAAAUAAUUAAUAAUUCAUUUAAUUAUUAAUUCUUAUACAAAAUACAAUGAAUAAGGCUUUAGAAAUUUAUAAAAGUUCUUUUUCUACGUCAAUUUGCAUACAAUUUGGAUAGCCUUCCAAAUAGCUGAAUAUCUUAAUUUCAUUGCAUGUUUUCGUGGGUUGUUCAUUUUCUUUUUUGGUUUUUCAUGCUUUUGAAAAUCUUUUACAUUUCAUCGAUAUUUCAAUUUAUACCUAAAAUAUGCACUUUAGAACAUCUCCAUUAGUUGUCAAUUGUUCAAUCGAUCUCUCUACCAAGGAGUUAGUAUGAUCAAAUCGAGAAGUUGUUGGCUUUGAUCCAAGAAAUCUAUAAAGAUCGGUAAAAAAUGAAAACAUAUCCGAAUACCAAUACAAACAACAAUAAAAUUUAGAAAAAUAUAUCCUUAAUUGAUAGUAUGUGAUUUAUAAAUUGACAUCUUUAGGAAUAUCUAAAUAUGUACCUAUACAAGAAUAAGAAAAAAAAAAACUUUUAGUUAGUUUAUCAUCUUCUCUUAAUUUGUAUAUUUUAUUCAUUCAUCAACUCUCUUCUCAAAAAGUUUAUGUAAUUUAGUAUAGUAAACUAAUGUAGUAUAGUUAAUUUAUUUUUCUAAUUACAAAGUAGAAUUAUUUAACAAUCAUAUAGUAUUUUAAAAACUAUUUAUAAGUUUAAUUUUAAACAACAAUUGGGAGGAAAAUUAAUCCAUUGAAAUCGAAGAUACUUAAAAAAAAUCAAGCUAUGCAUCACACGUGUUAAAAACUAGUCAUAAAAAAAAAAAAAAACUAACAAUUUUGAAAUAGCAAUAUUGUAAUUAACUGCAUGCUAUAAUAAUCGAAACAUACCAACAAUUAUACAAUUAUAAUUAGAGAACAAAACAUGAAAGAUACUAUACACCAAAAUCAAGUUAAUGACUCACACACCCUUAUGUGGCGUUGCUAUAAUAAAAGUUAAAAAGUUGAAAGAUUAAAACUAUUUUAAAACAUAUUAUUUUUAAAAAAUAAAAAUUUAUAAAUAUAAUAGAAAAUAAAAUUAUAAUACCAAUUUUCAAUAAAGGAAAAUUGAAUAACAUCAUUUGAUCCAUAGAUCUAUAAGAACAAUAAUUUGAAUGUAAUAUAAGAUACCAAAAGGCCAACACCAUCCAUAAAUUUAUAUAUGUAUAUAUAUAUUUGUAAAAAUAAAUAAAUGAAUGAGAUCUUGGUCAGAGACAGCUAGCUAACUUAAAGGCACCUUUCAAAAUAUAAAUAAUAAAAUUAAAAACUAUACAUUAUAUGUCUUUUUUUGUUUUCUUUUUUCACUCACUCCUAAAUUACUCUUUCUCUUUUUCUUUUUCUUUUUCUUUUUCUUUUCCUUCCCUCUCUCUCUCUCUCUCUUCAAAUAUCAAAACAAAUUCCCCCAGAAGAAAAAGAAAAAGAAAUGUCAACAAAAUUAAGCUCAGGCAGAAGAGUGAGUUUCAGCUCAGAUCAAGCGGCGGCGGCCAAGUCAAGAAUUAGGAAAAGGCCGAUCAUCGUCUUUUGGGUUUUUCGCCUCCCCAAAUCCGCCAGAUUCUCCCCGGAAAAGUUCCUCCGGCGGCUCGGAGCUAAAAUGGCUAAAGUUCUACGCUAUGUUUCGUUGAGAAAGAGAUCAACUUCGUCUACUAAUUCUUCGUCUUUGAAAAAUAAUAAUGGUUCUUCCAAGUUCAACAGAUCGCAUUCGGUUUCAGAUUCUAUGGAAGAGUCUCACCGAGCUGAAGCUGUCAAAGAUUGUAUUCAGUUCUUCAAUUCUUCUAAUUCUUCUUCUGCUGUUUGAAUUUCUUUCUUUCUUUUUUUUUUUGAUGUCGUGUAAUUGUGUUAAUCUAAUUUCAUGGUUCUUAUAAAUACUACGUUGAGUUCUUUCUAUCUUUAGGUUUCUAUGUGUUAUUUCUUAUACACUUUUUACUAUUUUUUUUUUUAAAAAAAAUCAAGUUCAAUUUUAGAAUUUUAAAAGAUAUACGUAUAAUUUAUUCAAAUAUAGUGAUUUUUGUUUUUAGAAUUUAAGUAUAUAUGAACUCAAUCUUUUUUUUAAUGAAUGUGAAAAUCUUAAUUGAAAAUUU
rnacentral:lncRNA from 1 species